rnacentral:rRNA from 1 species
UGGGGAAUAUUGGACAAUGGGCGAAAGCCUGAUCCAGCCAUGCCGCGUGUGUGAAGAAGGUCUUCGGAUUGUAAAGCACUUUAAGUUGGGAGGAAGGGCAGUAAGUUAAUACCUUGCUGUUUUGACGUUACCGACAGAAUAAGCACCGGCUAACUCUGUGCCAGCAGCCGCGGUAAUACAGAGGGUGCAAGCGUUAAUCGGAAUUACUGGGCGUAAAGCGCGCGUAGGUGGUUUGUUAAGUUGGAUGUGAAAUCCCCGGGCUCAACCUGGGAACUGCAUUCAAAACUGACAAGCUAGAGUAUGGUAGAGGGUGGUGGAAUUUCCUGUGUAGCGGUGAAAUGCGUAGAUAUAGGAAGGAACACCAGUGGCGAAGGCGACCACCUGGACUGAUACUGACACUGAGGUGCGAAAGCGUGGGGAGCAAACAGGAUUAGAUACCCGCGUAGUCCCUGAGCGGGCUGGCAAGGCGCAU